rfam:Oryza nivara chromosome 9, whole genome shotgun sequence.
AAUAAACACUAGUUUCCGUGCCCAACGUUUAACCGUCCAACUUAUUUAAAAAAAUUAUGAAAAAAAUUAAAAAGACAAGUUACGCAUAAAAUAUUAAUAAUAUUUUAUCAUCUAACAACAAUAAAAAUACGAAUUAUAAAUAAAGUUUAUAUAAAACGGACAGUUAAAGUUGGACACGAAAAUUAGAGUUUGUCUUUUUU